AGCUAAUCGGGGAGCUUAACAUGCAAGUCGAACGGCAGCACGGACUUCGGUCUGGUGGCGAGUGGCGAACGGGUGAGUAAUGUAUCGGAACGUGCCUAGUAGCGGGGGAUAACUACGCGAAAGCGUAGCUAAUACCGCAUACGCCCUACGGGGGAAAGCAGGGGAUCGCAAGACCUUGCACUAUUAGAGCGGCCGAUAUCGGAUUAGCUAGUUGGUGGGGUAACGGCUCACCAAGGCGACGAUCCGUAGCUGGUUUGAGAGGACGACCAGCCACACUGGGACUGAGACACGGCCCAGACUCCUACGGGAGGCAGCAGUGGGGAAUUUUGGACAAUGGGGGAAACCCUGAUCCAGCCAUCCCGCGUGUGCGAUGAAGGCCUUCGGGUUGUAAAGCACUUUUGGCAGGAAAGAAACGUUCCGGGUUAAUACCCCGGGAAACUGACGGUACCUGCAGAAUAAGCACCGGCUAACUACGUGCCAGCAGCCGCGGUAAUACGUAGGGUGCAAGCGUUAAUCGGAAUUACUGGGCGUAAAGCGUGCGCAGGCGGUUCGGAAAGAAAGAUGUGAAAUCCCAGAGCUUAACUUUGGAACUGCAUUUUUAACUACCGAGCUAGAGUGUGUCAGAGGGGAGGUGGAAUUCCGCGUGUAGCAGUGAAAUGCGUAGAUAUGCGGAGGAACACCGAUGGCGAAGGCAGCCUCCUGGGAUAACACUGACGCUCAUGCACGAAAGCGUGGGGAGCAAACAGGAUUAGAUACCCCUGGUAGUCCACGCCCUAAACGAUGUCAACUAGCUGUUGGGGGCCUUCGGGCCUUGGUAGCGCAGCUAACGCGUGAAGUUGACCGCCUGGGGGAGUACGGUCGCAAGAUUAAAACUCAAAGGAAUUGACGGGGACCCGCACAGCGGGUGGGAUGGGAGGGGGAUUAAUUCGAUGCAACGCGAAAAACCUUACCUACCCUUGACAUGUCUGUAUGCGAAGAGGAUUUGGUAGUGCUCGCAGAGACCGGAACACAGGUGCCUGCAUGGCUGUCGUCAG
rnacentral:rRNA from 1 species